rnacentral:sRNA from 1 species
UUUUAGCCCUGAUUGUAGCGACAGCCCCGAGGUACGAGGGCUAUAGCGUAAAGCAGGAACUAGC